UACGGAGGAUCCAAGCGUUAUCCGGAUUUAUUGGGUUUAAAGGGUGCGUAGGCGGUCUUUUAAGUCAGGGGUGAAAUACGGCAGCUCAACUGUCGCAGUGCCCUUGAUACUGAAGGACUUGAAUAUGGUUGAGGUAUGCGGAAUGAGACAAGUAGCGGUGAAAUGCAUAGAUAUGUCUCAGAACACCGAUUGCGAAGGCAGCAUCCCAAGCCAUCAUUGACGCUGAUGCACGAAAGCGUGGGGAUCGAACAGGAUUAGAUACCCUGGUAGUCCACGCCCUAAACGAUGAUAACUCGAUGUUGGCGAUAGACAGUCAGCGUCCAAGCGAAAGCGUUAAGUUAUCCACCUGGGGAGUACGCCCGCAAGGGUGAA
rnacentral:rRNA from 1 species